rnacentral:ribozyme from 1 species
GCCUGGAAAGACAGGCACGUUAAACUAACUGUAGAGGUCCAAAGUCCUCGGCUGCAAACGCAGAAUAGUGAUGGGCGU